rnacentral:rRNA from 1 species
UACGGGGGGGGCAAGCGUUGUUCGGAAUUACUGGGCGUAAAGGGCUCGUAGGCGGCCAACUAAGUCGGACGUGAAAUCCCCAGGCUCAACCUGGGAACUGCGUCUGAUACUGGAUGGCUUGAAUCCGGGAGAGGGAUGCAGAAUUCCAGGUGUAGCGGUGAAAUACGUAGAUAUCGGGAAGAACACCUGAGGCGAAGGCGGCUAUCUGGCGGUGCACUGACGCUAAGGCGCGAAAGCGUGGGGAGCAAACAGG